rnacentral:rRNA from 2 species
UCCGUAGGUGAACCUGCGGAAGGAUCAUUACCUAGAGUUGUAGGCUUUGCCUGCUAUCUCUUACCCAUGUCUUUUAAGUACCUUCGUUUCCUCGGCGGGUUCGCCCGCCGAUUGGACAAUUUAAACCAUUUGCAGUUGCAAUCAGCGUCUGAAAAAACUUAAUAGUUACAACUUUCAACAACGGAUCUCUUGGUUCUGGCAUCGAUGAAGAACGCAGCGAAAUGCGAUAAGUAGUGUGAAUUGCAGAAUUCAGUGAAUCAUCGAAUCUUUGAACGCACAUUGCGCCCCUUGGUAUUCCAUGGGGCAUGCCUGUUCGAGCGUCAUUUGUACCUUCAAGCUCUGCUUGGUGUUGGGUGUUUGUCUCGCCUCUGCGUGUAGACUCGCCUCAAAACAAUUGGCAGCCGGCGUAUUGAUUUCGGAGCGCAGUACAUCUCGCGCUUUGCACUCAUAACGACGACGUCCAAAAGUACAUUUUUACACUCUUGACCUCGGAUCAGGUAGGGAUACCCGCUGAACUUAAGCAUAUCAAUAAGCGGAGGA